CACUCCUUAUCUCUUUGUCCAUGAGAACAUCACCCAAAACUUGAAAACUUCACAACACAAAACUUAAACAGAAACUCGUGAUAACAUUAGCACAAGAAAACAAACUACCACCUCUUUUGGUACUCUAGAAAACUUGAAUUCUAUCUAUAUUGGUGUUGGGUUACUGUAUUUUCAAUCUUCCAUGGAUAAUACCCCCCAUACUAACCAUAGUUUCAUCAAAACAAGCAACCAACUCAACAAAAACAGAAUCUGUAAAAAACAAACCAGUCUGUAGCAAUUUGUAUACUUCGUAUAUUCUGCUACCUUCAAAAAUCUGAAAAAUUACUACUGCCUGGGAAAAAGGC
rnacentral:lncRNA from 1 species